CCGCUGAUGCUGAUAGCACUACACGAGGUUAUGCAGGCUCAAGUACAGACACAGCCUUCACCCACAGGAGGGAUGCACAAUGACCCAUAACAGCAGAGAUGCAAUGAGAAGUGCUAGGAUCGUGCAGGCACACUGGACAACUGCCCUUGCUGUUGAACAGCAGCACACAGACAUAACUUGCAAAUGCAGGAGAAUGAACUCCUUGGAGGAUCUUCAUAGCUCAGGCAAAUACUAUUUCAAGAGAUUCUUCAGCAAUCAGGCCAUAAGCUUCUCUUGUUAAUGAAAUGGAACUGGAAACUGAAAUUUCUGCAAAUACAAGGACUGAGAUAUAUCUGUUACAAAAUGGGUAUGAAGUCAGAAACUUUGAAUAUAAAGUAAGUACAUUUUGGACCAAGAACAGAAACUCAGGCAUUGCAUCUCCCUAGGAAAUGGACUAACCAUUGGACUAGACAGCUAUUACUAUUAGCCUUGGUGGUCUUUACAUGGUUAUUAAUGAAUUUCACAAAGUGGAACAAAGCUACCACAGGAGCAAGCAUGAUCCACAAAGAUACUUUCAAGGAUGCUGAGCCUCAGAAAUGAUUGUUGCCAUUCUUGUGAAAUUAACCACAUGCAAAAUAAAAGAUUAUGCUUCUUAUGGACAAUUUAUCACUUUAAAAUAGAAACACACUGUGCCAAACCAAUGCCGAAGUUAAUUUCAUUAUAUUUAAUGGAGUUACUCCAGGACUGACUUCAACUAACUGCAUAAAACUAUGAAGAAAAAAAGAAAAAGAACUUAGACAAGUCAUGUUCUCCACCAUGUAAAGCUAAGUACUAACAGAACUUAUCCAAAAAACAUACUGCUUCACUUAAGUUAAGGUUAUAAAUGCAUUAUGAUCAUAUUUUCCUGCAUAAAACUAUAGCCUAGAAGUAUAUGUACAGAAAGAACAUCUAGAAAACUAAUCAUAUUUAAGCUCCUAAAUAUAAAAGCAUGAAUGAUAAAUAUAAAUAUCUCAUUUAGAAUUUUAAACUGUGUUGCCUUAUAAGGAAAUUGGCAAUAAUCAGAUUAAUAACAUACAAAUCAAACUUUGAUUAAAGAGACAAAAUAAAAUAGAUAUACUCUAUGUCUGUGUGUAGCCUGUUCUUAAUGUUGAAUGAAACUGUUAUUGGAGAAGGUCCUUGGCAGGGGAAAGGCAGAAGAUCAACAGGGGCUUUUCCCAGACAAACGCAUCAGCCGGAAGUAAAUUAGUCUCUCUCCCAUUCUGUCUUCAAGAAGGAAACAGACUGUUUCCCCUGCCUCUCUAUCUUGAACAAAGCAAGAAGGUAUCUUUAUCUUUCUGAUUAGAAGGAAAUGGCUACAAAUGAAGGUGAUGUCACUUUGAAUAUCAUCAGCAAUGGACCCAUUAGAUGCACUGAGGUAUCCUAGCCCAGAAGUCUCAAGAUGAUUAGUCAUGAAGACAAGAGAAGGCUGAGGAAAACAGUAGUACACAACUGACGAAAAAAUGCCAUCAUUUGAAUUUAUGCUGGUACAACUCUGCCACUGACCAUUAACAAGAUAAAGAAGUUUAUCUCAGUUUUCUUCUUCCUUGUUGGGUGCUGUAACAUUAUAACAUUUUAAAAGGGAGGAUAAAUGUGCAAACACCAUUGGAAGCUUGUGACUGGCUUCACCCUGUUGGAAGAUGAUCUCUAUGAAUGUCUGCCAGGUAAAGUUCCACAGUGAAGCUCAGCAGGAGAUGCCAGUGAGAUACAGAGAGGAGAUAGGCAUCACCAAUCAAGCAGCAUGAGAGAGAGGCAGUUCUCAGCAAGUACAGCAAAUCAACUUGCAGAGAAAAACUAUAGAGACAUCUAAAAUUUGAAGCAUUCUCAUCCACAGCUGUAUCAAACCUUAACUAUUUAGCCCUAUCUCCCUCUGCCAGUAAAGACAGUCAGUAACUAUUUCAUAGGAGGAAGGAAAGGAGGUGAGAAUACUUGGAAGUCUCUGAUUCUUGGGGUCUGUCACAGACCUGACUUGGUCUAUAAUAUGUCUUCACUGCAGCUAAAUUCUGUAUUAACAGGUCCACAGAUCUAAACAUGACAAGUGAAAGUAUCAGUCACUAAGCAAUACCCCUAAGGAACCUAAAGGUGAGUGUAGGCAACAGCCCCAGCCUCAGAUUCCCAGGUGGAUUUUCUACUCUGUCACAGUGUCCUAUGAAAUUCAGGCUGUCUAAUUAGUGGUAACGAAUUAGUUUUAGCUGCCUUUAAACUACAACAUCAGCAUUAAAGAACCUUUGAGGUGUUAGUCCACUGAAAAUAUCUGGAUAAAAUUCUCUAAUAUUUAGUUAAUUAUUCCUGUAAACAUAAUUCCUGAUUAUUGUUAUAUUUCCAAAAACUGGAGAAAAAAAAAAAAAAAAAA